GUGCUCACUUGGGCAGCACAGAUACUAAAAUUGGAACAGUACAGAGAAGAUUAGCAAGGAUCCUGCAUAAGAAGAAGAUGCAAAUUCAGGAAAUAUUUCUUAUUUUU
ensembl:snRNA U6 U6 spliceosomal RNA